GAACUGCAGUCAGCACAAUUAAUGCAAGGCAGAGCCAUUCUGAGCCACCGUCCACAGCAGACACACUUUGGGCAGUUCAGUUUCAGGCAGUUACAAAGAGCCAGCCCCAGGAUGAAUGCAGCAUGCCAGGCUGGAGAAGACAACAAUCAUGGGCCAGGAGGAUCAUUAACAACACUGCUCAGCAUGGAUCCCAGAUGGUUGAACAGCCAGAAUCCUGCUUUGGUGGAUGGUCACAACCAAAACCACACAAGAAGACCCAAUUUCUUGUGUGCUGGAAGAGGUGGUUGUUGGUGCUCUCCAGAAACCAGUACAGGAAGUACCUCUCCAGCUUUGUUCUUUUCCUACUGAGUCUCCCUUUUCCAAGGAGUGGUGUUGAUCUGAUUAUCCCAUACAUUAUAGUGAUGCAGAUUAAGACUGAGCAUACAUUUUCACAUGCCCAUGGUUUAACAUCCAGUAAAAAAAAGUGCUCAGAAGUAUUUAUUAAAAUGACUUGUACAUUUUAUAAAAUAUCUGUAUCAAUUAAUUGCUAAUAAGUAGUUCAAAGCUGACUCAGAGCUGAAUUAAUAAUGUAACACUCAUAACUUAUUCAAUUAAUUCAGUCUCUCUGCUUUUUUUUUUCUGGAAUGACUUAUCAGGAGUUAUCCUCUCUUUGUGUCCAGGCAAGGAUCUUCAAGUCUGUCAUUUUAAAUUAAAAUCCUUCCCUCUCCUGAAAUGUUAUUACUUCACAAGAUUGAUCUUAUACAAUUUAUUGCAACUAUUUCAUACUAAAAAUUCAAGUACUGUUGAGAAUUAUGAUGAGAGAAAUAUACGCACUUUUUCUUGAGAGUUGAGAGUCAUUCUUUUCAUUCUAAGGAAUGUUUAAAAAACUCUCUCAAACUCUGCAUUUUUCAGGGACAGGGAGGGCAGAGGGGACCGAUGAUUGGAAUUUGGGAACCUAUCACAGCAUUCCCUCUCUGGCACAAAGAAUUGACUGAGGCAGCAUCACAUUGGAAAAAACAAGCGACUGCAAGAUUACUGCAUUUGCAAAAAGAUGCACACAGCAUUUUAGAUACCACAGUGAUUUGUUUUUUCCCUUCUCACUGCAGGAGAAUAAUGACACAAUCAAAACCACACUGAAAUCACUGAAAGCCUUUGAGUCCUUUCAGUAGAAUUCAGAGGGCUGAGAUGCCAAUAAAUAGAAUUGCUUGGCAAAUAUUGACACUUUAAGGACAGAUACUGCAUAAAUGUUGAGUACUCUCUGUGUACCCAGCUUUACAUUGAAGAUUUAAAAAUGUUUUUGUUUCUUUAGCUGGUCCUCAGUAGAGCAUCUGUAGAGAGAAAAUAAGUUAAAAAUGGAGAAAGAUGGGGAAGUAACCAAAACAGUGACCUUUAUGUAAUGCACCCAAAGGACACCAUGACAAGAUCCACGGAUGAGCAAUCUGCGACCCCUGUGGCUCCAAUCCAGGCUGAAGCCUCACUGAUCACACAUAAAGCUGGGAGAAACAAACACAGAACUUGCUUCCAAAUGAAAACAAAAUAAAAGUAAA